ensembl:lincRNA Gm38102 predicted gene, 38102
AGGAGGUGAUAAGGGGGCCAAAGAAAGGAGAGAGAGAGAGAGAGCGGUGGAAAAGACCUGAAGUAGAGAGCAAGCCACAAGUUGGUCCCGGUCACUUCCAUCUUCCCCUUUCAAGCACCACGUCACAGUUUAGCGCCUAAUUGCUCCCUAAAGCCUGUAACCCUCCAGGGUACAGCUGACACAACGCGACUUAAAUCAAUUAGUCGGAGGCUGGAGGAGAUAAAGACCCCAGCCAGAUCCAAGGACUCUAACCAGAGCCUUUAGGGUAGAUCAGUUGUGUUCCAAGGCUUACCGGUAUUAAAGUAGGAACGAGACCAACCUAGCAAAGCGCUCUUCUCCCCGCCCCCCUUCUCAAUAGGGGCGAGGAGUCCAGCCUUCCCAGCAGAAAGCCAGCUCAUCCACGGACUUGAUGCCUGGCCCUCGGCACCAGCGGGAGCCCCGGGACCAUUGUGGAGCCUUGCUAUACCAGACAGCUCUCUCUGGCAGUGAUAAAGGCAGACAGCUGGCACGGGAGGGAGCCUAAAAUAACCCAGACAGCUGGGCAAGGGGGUGUCACGGGCCCAGGCUCUGGGCUGAAAAUCAAGACACCUGGAACCCUGUCCAGGCUCUGCCCCGUGGUGGCCUCAUAACCUUGGGUGAGACAUUUCUUCUCUUGGGGCUAUUGGUGGGUGGCCCUUAAAUCCCGACCCAACCACAGAACAGCCCACGGAGCCCCGGGAACAGCCUGGACUCAAACACUAGAAGAAAAACAGGGCUGGCUGCCUUCCCAGCAAAGCCAGUUUUCUUUCUCCUUGGCCUGGAGGCUCCAGCACGUGCUUCAGGAAGUGGGCUGGCGGGGAGGAGCCCGGGAGACAGCCCAGCCCCCACCGGCGCAGGCAGCAACCACUCCCAGCAACAAUCCUUAUCACAAUGGAGGCCAACUGGUUGUGAGGUCAGAGCAGGAGUCUGGCCCCCUUAAUCUCACUUAAUCCUCCCACCAACCUUUUCCAGCAGGUAUUGUGGUCUUUUUAACCGGGGGAGGGGGAAGAGAGGCACUGGUCCAAGGUCACUAGCUAGGUCCACACCUAACCUACAGCGGCCAGACUAGAAGCAUCCCUGAUUAGGCACCAAUCUGCCUCCAGCAACAACUGGGGAAGCCUUCCAGGUCCCCCAACUACACGUCAGCACUCACUGUAGGGGUGAGGAGAAAAGAGAAGACAAGAGGCUGGAAGCUGAGGCCCGAAUAGGGGAAGCCAGCAGGAGCUGUGGCACCUGAGGCCAAAUGGCUUAUCAAAGUAACAUAACGAGAAACACACUAGGGGGCCAGGGGUCAGGGAUCAAGGGCCACACCAGUUUCAGCAGCAAAGCUUCCUGCCUAGGAGGAGGGCAAGCCAACUGCUAGCCACCAAGCUGGGCGGCAUCCCAGGUGUCACCUACUAUAAAGAGUCUAGACACCUGGUGCUACCUGGAACCUUGACUGCCUAAGAGGGAAACUCGAGAAACGGGCACAGUCGGGUUUAAUGGGUCCAACCAUUGACUUCUGAGGCCGGUGCAGCUGGGGAGACCCUGCUCAGAGACUACACACAGACCUCAUUGACUGUGUAAGAUCACUACAGACAGGUAAAGGGCCAGCCUCCGUGUCACGUUCUAGAAGCCAGGCUACCGGACACCUGGCCUUGUUGAGAGCUCGGAUCCAGGAAAAGGAGAAGCCAAGGAAAUCUUUUCUCUCGGGAAGCUGGCUACCACUUCACACUUUUGCUUCUUUGUCUAUCCAGCAAGGCAGACAUCAGAAGGGGGCUCAGCUGGUCCCCCUAAUGGGGUUCAGGAAGAAGGUCUGAAGCACCACUGGCAAACCUGGCAGCAGUCACUGUCUUCAGAAGUUUCCAGGGCCCUCCCAUGCCACCAUAAACCACACCACUGGGAAAUA